UGUCAAGGGAUGGGAAUCGAACCCACGACCUUCCGCUUAUCGGGGAGAUGCCAUGACCACUAGGCUACCCUGGAC
rnacentral:tRNA from 1 species